GGAGGAUUGCCCGAGUGGCCAAUGGGAGCGGACUGUAAAUCCGCCGGCUUAUGCCUACGUUGGUUCAAAUCCAACAUCCUCCACGA
rnacentral:tRNA from 1 species